rnacentral:rRNA from 1 species
GUAGGUGGCAAGCGUUGUCCGGAAUUAUUGGGCGUAAAGCGCGCGCAGGCGGUUCUUUAAGUCUGAUGUGAAAGCCCACGGCUCAACCGUGGAGGGUCAUUGGAAACUGGAGAACUUGAGUACAGAAGAGGAAAGCGGAAUUCCACGUGUAGCGGUGAAAUGCGUAGAGAUGUGGAGGAACACCAGUGGCGAAGGCGGCUUUCUGGUCUGUAACUGACACUGAGGCGCGAAAGCGUGGGGAGCAAACAGGAUUAGAUACCCUGGUAGUCCACGCCGUAAACGAUGAGUGCUAAGUGUUAGGGGGUUUCCGCCCCCCUUAGUGCUGCAGCUAACGCAUUAAGCACUCCGCCCUGGGAGUACGGCCGCAAGGCUG